AACGAACGCUGGCGGCAUGCCUAACACAUGCAAGUCGAACGAGACCUUCGGGUCUAGUGGCGCACGGGUGCGUAACGCGUGGUAACCUGCCCUUAGGUUCGGAAUAACUCCCCGAAAGGGGUGCUAAUACCGGAUAAUGUCUUCGGACCAAAGAUUUAUCGCCUUUGGAUGGGCCCGCGUUGGAUUCGCUAGUUGGUAGGGUAAAAGCCUACCAAGGCGACGAUCCAUAGCUGGUCUGAGAGGAUGAUCAGCCACACUGGGACUGAGACACGGCCCAGACUCCUACGGGAGGGAGCAGUGGGGAAUAUUGGACAAGGGGCGAAAGCCUGAUCAAGCAAUGCCGCGGGAGUGAUGAAGGCGUUAGGGUUGUAAAGCUCUUUUACCCGGGAUGAUAAUGACAGUACCGGGAGAAUAAGCACCGGCUAACUACGUG
rnacentral:rRNA from 1 species